GGAAUAUUGGUCAAUGGACGCAAGUCUGAACCAGCCAUGCCGCGUGAAGGAUGACGGCCCUCUGGGUUGUAAACUUCUUUUAUCUGGGACGACAAAAGCUCAUUCUUGAUCACUUGACGGUACCAGAGGAAUAAGCACCGGCUAACUCCGUGCCAGCAGCCGCGGUAAUACGGAGGGUGCAAGCGUUAUCCGGAUUUACUGGGUUUAAAGGGUGCGUAGGUGGGUCUGUAAGUCAGUGGUGAAAUCUCCGAGCUUAACUCGGAAACUGCCAUUGAUACUAUAGGUCUUGAAUUAUCGGGGGGUAAGCGGAAUAUGUCAUGUAGCGGUGAAAUGCUUAGAUAUGACAUAGAACACCAAUUGCGAAGGCAGCUUACUACGGAUCGAUUGACACUGAGGCACGAAAGCGUGGGGAUCAA
rnacentral:rRNA from 1 species